rnacentral:rRNA from 1 species
AGCGAACGCUGGCGGCAGGCCUAACACAUGCAAGUCGAACGGACCCUUCGGGGUUAGUGGCGGACGGGUGAGUAACACGUGGGAACGUGCCCUUUGGUUCGGAACAACUCAGGGAAACUUGAGCUAAUACCGGAUGUGCCCUUCGGGGGAAAGAUUUAUCGCCAUUGGAGCGGCCCGCGUCUGACUAGCUAGUUGGUGAGGUAAAGGCUCACCAAGGCUACGAUCAGUAGCUGGUCUGAGAGGAUGAUCAGCCACACUGGGACUGAGACACGGCCCAGACUCCUACGGGAGGCAGCAGUGGGGAAUCUUGCGCAAUGGGCGAAAGCCUGACGCAGCCAUGCCGCGUGAAUGAUGAAGGUCUUAGGAUUGUAAAAUUCUUUCACCGGGGACGAUAAUGACGGUACCCGGAGAAGAAGCUCCGGCUAACUUCGUGCCAGCCGCCGCCGUAACAC